CAUGGAGAGAAGCAAUGAAGGGGUUGCAACUUGGCCUGCUAAUGGGCUAAGAAUAUGCAGAGCCGGAUGCCUCUCCAUGGGAGGUCUUCGACAUGGCAAUUGUAGUUGAGGAGACAAUUGUACUACAACAUUAAAGAUGUGGCAUGAAGCUAUGCCAUGCUUAUGGCUGUCAUCGACUGUGUCAAU